GAUGAACGCUAGCGGGAGGCUUAACACAUGCAAGUCGAGGGGCAGCACAGGUAGCAAUACUGGGUGGCGACCGGCGGACGGGUGCGUAACGCGUAUGCAACCUACCUUAUACAGGGGGAUAGCCCGGGGAAACUCGGAUUAAUAUUCCAUAGUUCAGUAAAUUCGCAUGGGAUUACUGAUAAAACUCAGGUGGUAUAAGAUGGGCAUGCGUCUGAUUAGGUAGUUGGUAGGGUAACGGCCUACCAAGCCGACGAUCAGUAGGGGUUCUGAGAGGAUCAUCCCCCACACUGGUACUGAGACACGGACCAGACUCCUACGGGAGGCAGCAGUGAGGAAUAUUGGUCAAUGGGCGCAAGCCUGAACCAGCCAUCCCGCGUGAAGGAUGAAGGCCUUAUGGGUUGUAAACUUCUUUUGUACCUGAAGAAACCCUUCUACGUGUAGGAGGUUGCCGGUAAGGUACGAAUAAGCAUCGGCUAACUCCGUGCCAGCAGCCGCGGUAAACUACUCGUA
rnacentral:rRNA from 1 species